rnacentral:lncRNA from 1 species
UUUGUCAAAGAACCGACCCGUGUCGCAUGCUCGCAGACCGGGGUGGGUACCUUCAACAUGAAGAAAGAAAUUUCGAGGUAGAGGUGGGCGACUCGUACUACGCGGUUGUAGUCGGAGUGGUAUCCACCUCAACACCAUCCUAAGUAAUCCUAUGCGGCCCGGGUCCGGCGGCAGGUUGUGUGUGUUAAAGUGUAGUGCAAUGCAGGGGAUGCAGGCAUGACAAUUUAUAAGCAAUCAGCACUUCAUAUAUGAAAAAUAAACCAUACAUUCCUACAUCUCCCUGCAAGACAAAGAUGAGCAAACACUUCCCCUUAUACCUCCCAUUCUGCAAAAACAUUUAACACAUUUCAUGUUAGGGGCGUACUUGGAAUCCUCGUUGCCAAACAAAUUUUUUUUUUUGAACAAAAUUAAUUUUGGCCUAAGUCCUCUAAGGUUUAAAACCAAGUUCCCAGCGGAGUCGCCAAGCUGUCGCGACCUACCCUCGGGGGGAGGGAACAGGUUUAGGGGUGUUGCCCAAAGGACGGGCCUAAGGCCCAAAAUUAGGCGUGAGUUCUCCCAAGCCCAUACCCCGCGUGACGUUGGAAUAUUCUUAAGAAAUUUUGCAUAAAAGGAGUCGCCACUAGCCUAUUGGGGUCGGCUAGAAACCAAGUGAGACAUGGGAGCGUGCCUCACUUCCUACGCAACCAGAGAAUUUAGGUUCGGGGACUUGAUUACACUAAUUAACCAAUUAGUGCCCUUUCGGUACCUAAUCUUGUUCAUUUUAACAAAAUGAUUUUUGGCAGGCAAUUUGGAUUGAUUUUAUAUUUAUCCACUAACAUGUGAGGUGAUCAUGCAGGCGCGCAAUCAUUAAAGUAAUAAUUAUAACUAUCAAGAUCCUAAUUGCAAUAAGAUUAAACACGUGCAAUCAAACAUAAUUAAAUAUGCAAAUUAAACAUACGACAUAAUCAAUAUGUGAG